rnacentral:lncRNA from 1 species
AUGUUUGGAAAGCUACAGAGCAGUAGCCAUAGAAAGACUGCGUGAGACAGAGUCCUAGCCUAUCUGUCCGGCCAGUCGAACCUCAUGUGUUCGCUGCUUUCAUUUUCCCUUGGCUGAGGAAACGAUGGUUUGGUUUUGCAAAGGAAUGCUGGGGACUUCUGCCAGCUUGCUAACGGCCUUGCCCCAUUCAGAUGCAUCGAACUCACAGAACAUCGCUCCCCAGCUGCUGGCUCGCGGUUCUGAGAGUGCCUGAAUAGAAAACCACUCAUUUCCCUUCGCAAAAGAGGCGCCCAAAGCAGAUAUUUCAAUAUAUUCCAAUUUAGCCGAGGGAAGCCAGAACAUGGAUGUUGUUGCCAAGGAAACCACCUCCUUCCUCCUGUGUGCUGUGCAUACGUGUAUCACUUCAUCUCUCUGCUCUCCAAGCUUGAAUCUAGAUCUGACGUGGAUAUCCUGCCACAGUUCCGAAGUCUACCUAGUGCCCCAGCCGAACCUGCCCUGGCUCCUAGGUGGGGUAUGGACAUCUGUGACAUCCCUCCCCAACACCCCACCAAGCUGGGCUGCAAGACGGGUUAUGGUGGCCCCAUGACUUCCUUCCUUGGCAAUCGAGCUUUCCUGGUCUCCUGAGCUACUGUGAACGUGGCAGAAGAUAGUGGACUCUGAAUAACAUUGGAAACAACUACUUCCUGGACGGCCACUGUGUGCAUGGCCUGCGGGAGGGUGAGGGCAAGAGGACUGAUGGUUACUGGGAAUCUUCUUCAUGGCCAGGCUUCUGUGUGUCCUCUCACUUAAUCCUCCAACAGCACUGUGAGGAAAAUACAGCAUCCCACCUCACAGGCGAGGAAGCUUAAGUUGAAGGAAUGUUAAAUUGCCUGCUCUGAGCCUCACAGCCGGGAGGUGACAGCCCCAGGAUUGGCGGCCAGGGUUUGUCUGCCUUUAAAACUUAUGUCAUGUCCUUCUGUGUUAUCUCGGUCUGUACAGGCUGCUACAGCAAAAUACCAUAGCCUGGGUAGUUUAUGAACAACAGAAAUUUAUUUCUCAUAGUUCUGGAGCCUGGAAGUCCAAGAUCAAGGCUCUCGCAGGUUCAGUGUUCGGUGAGGACCCACUUCCUUAUUCAUAGACGUCCCCUUCUCACUGUGGCCUCACAGCAAGGGGUCAGGGUUCUCUCUGGGGCCUCUUUAAAUAGGGUCACCAAUCCCAUUCAUGAGGGCUGUACCCCCAUGACCUAAUCCCCUCCCAAAGGCCCCACUUCCCCAUACCAUCACCUUGGGGGUUAGGAUUCUAACAUGAAUUUUGGGGGGACACAGGCAUUCUGAUCAUAGCAUAUGUGUAGUUGCUCCUGGCCCGCUGGGGAAAUCACCGUCUCCAAGCAUGGCUCCCAUCUGGUUACCCUGGGUGGCCAAGGUCAGCAGAGGUGCUUUGCCAACUGAUUGGCACCCACACUACUUCUGUCCAGGUGGGCUGGGGCGAGGGUUGGGUCACAGUGGGACUCUGUGGGGCUCCGGGGACUGUCAGCUGCCCCGGGGCUGGAGGUCCUGCUGCUCUGUGCCCAUAGGCACCUCCUGGGAAUCUGGCGACUUGCAUCAGGGCCCGGAACUCACCCUGACAGUUCUUUCAGCUCUUGUCUUUUCCUCCCCUACCUACCUGCUCAUCUCGCUUUCACACACAAAGCCUCCCCUGCACUCCCCGCUCCCCUCCUCAAUCCCUUUCCCGGCUUUUGUACUUUAUGAUGCCGUGACUUGGGUGAGGAAACUCAUUAAAGUCAUUAUUCCGUGCACAGAAAUGUGUCUUUCAUCCCAUUCAUAUUUAAUGUUCCUCCCACUUGAU